GAUCCUGGCUCAGGACGAACGCUGGCGGCAUGCCUAACACAUGCAAGUCGAACGGAGAUUAUUUCGAUAAUCUUAGUGGCGAACGGGUGAGUAACGCGUGGGCAACCUACCCUCUAGAUGGGGACAACAUCCCGAAAGGGGUGCUAAUACCGAAUGUGACAGCAAUCUCGCAUGAGGAUGCUGUGAAAGAUGGCCUCUAUUUAUAAGCUAUCGCUAGAGGAUGGG
rnacentral:rRNA from 1 species